rnacentral:rRNA from 1 species
AACGAACGCUGGCGGCAGGCUUAGCACAUGCAAGUCGAACGCCCCCGCAAGGGGGAGUGGCAGACGGGUGAGUAACACGUGGGAACAUGCCCUUCGGUUCGGAACAACGUCUGGAAACGGACGCUAAUACCGGAUACGCCCUUUUGGGGAAAGGCGCGCUGUCGAAGGAUGGGCCCGCGUUCGAUUAGCUUGAUGGUGCGGGUAACGGCCCACCAUGGCGACGAUCGAUCGCUGGUCUGCGAGGAUGGCCAGCGACAUUGGGACUGAGACACGGCCCAAACUCCGGCGGGAGGCAGCAGUGGGGAAUAUUGGACGAUGGGCGCAAGCCUGGUACCGCCAUGCCGCUGGAGUGAAGGCGGCCUGAGGGUUGUAAAGCUCUUUCGCACGCGACGAUAAUGACGGUAGCGGGAGAAGAAGCCCCGGCUAACUUCGUGCCAGCCGCCGCCGUAA